AAGACUUGUUUCUCCCCCAGGGUAGAGCUUUUGUGACAUCACACUAGAGCUGGAGGUAGAGAUAGUGACCUAGUUCUCAUGGAGUAGCACUGUUUGAGGAGGGCUCACUGGGAACAUGAUACGGUGGUCCCUAGUUUUCCUGGUUUGCCUUCCUCAAAGUAAAAUCUCUGCCUUAUGAAUGAGCUGAACAGGAUCAACUGGGACCCUGCUUUGGAUCAGCAUGACAUGCCUGGGGGGAGUUUCUAAUUUAUGAAUGAGGCUCCUUGGGGAAGAGAGACCUGAUCUCUCUGCUGCUCUUGCCUGGAAUAAAGCUCCUACAACAAGGGACUGAGAGAUGAGAAAAACCUGACAGCAUGCUCUUCACAAGUUGGAAAUGUAGUCCUACACUGAUGCUAUGAGGAAAGGGAGCCUCCAUCUUCAUCACUGUACUUACCAGAAUGAGAGCUCCUGGAACAUUUUCAUAAGAAGUGAUGUGGGGGAAGAAAAAGGACAGGAGUUCUAGUUUUGAAUGGUCACACACCAACUCUGAUCUGCUCAUCUAGAUUAAGAAUGAUCAAAUAGAUCUAUCUAUCAGAAAUUUUAUAAAUUUCUGACAUGAAGAAACAACUGGAAGGGAGUGCAGGAUGCCAAGAAGUAUGGAAAUAAUUUUCUCUUGCACUUUCUUUGUAUCAAGGACUGUCCCAGUUAUAUGACCCCUAUAAUAAAGGUGAAAAUAAAUGUUUCCAGAAGAAAAAUGAGUCCAGUGGGAAUGUGUCAAACGUUUUAAUCAACAGCCUAAAUCUUUGGAGGAGAAAUGAUAAGUUCUUCUCAGGAGCAAGGGUGUAUUGUGAAGAGCAAAGGAAGAUGAAAACGGAGAGGAGAGAAAUUAAAAUGAGAGGAUUUACUUUGGUUUUUG
rnacentral:lncRNA from 1 species